rnacentral:lncRNA from 1 species
AUGCAGCUCUGUGAGGCUGGGAGAGUGGCUGCCCCAGGCCAGAAGGACACCCUCCAGCCCCUGGGCUCACACCGAGGGUCUGUGGGGCUCGGACCCCUCGCUGUCUCACCUGGGCUGCAAGGCACAAAUACCAAUUACUGGACACCACAACAAGGCCAGAAGCCUGGGAGGCCAGGGAACUGGAUCUGUAGGUUGAUGACUCUGAAGCCCGUGAUAUGUGAACUCCUUUCUCCAGAAGAGAUCAUACCUGGCUCCCUUGAAAAAAGACAGAAUUGUUCCUCGCUCCACACGACCCACACAGCCAGGCAGUGGCAUGCGUCAUGGCAGCAGGCCCUGGCCAAGGGCUCUGUGGCUGGAGGACUCACCUGUGGGAGGGUCUGGAGGGCGUGCCCCGGGGAAUGGGGUGCAGUGGAGGAGCUGAGGGAGAUAGCUAAGAAGGCCACGUUGUGGCCAGGGCCCUGGGAGGGGAGGGACCUCAGUGUGCUGGCCAGUGUGGACACCUCUGAGGCUCCCGUGAGGGGUGGGCAGAGGCAUGGAGAAGGGUAUCACUGGCCUUGGAGGGGCUGGUGGCCCAGGGUGGGAGAUAGCAUUGGCCUGGCCCUGGGCGGAGAUGGAGAUGAGCAGGCCCUUGGUGUAGGUAGAGAUGAGCAGGCCCUGGGAGGACCUGGAGAUGGGCAGGCCCUGGGAGGAGAUGGAGAUGAGCAGGCCCUGGGAGGACCUGGAGAUGGGCAGGCCCUGGGAGGAGAUGGAGAUGAGCAGGCCCUGGGAGGACCUGGAGAUGGGCAGGCCCUGGGUGUAGAUGGAGAUGAGCAGGCCCUUGGUGUAGAUGGAGAUGAGCAGGCCCUGGGAGGACCUGGAGAUGAGCAGGCCCUUGGUGUAAAUGGAGAUGAGCAGGCCCUGGGAGGACCUGGAGAUGGGCAGGCCCUGGGUGGAGAUGGAGAUGAGCAGGCCCUGGGAGGACCUGGAGAUGGGCAGGCCCUGGGUGGAGAUGGAGAUGGGCAGGCCCUUGGUGUAAAUGGAGAUGAGCAGGCCCUGGGAGGACCUGGAGAUGGGCAGGCCCUGGGUGGAGAUGGAGAUGAGCAGGCCCUGGGAGGACCUGGAGAUGGGCAGGCCCUGGGUGGAGAUGGAGAUGAGCAGGCCCUUGGUGUAGAGAGAUGA